AUACGGAGGAUCCGAGCGUUAUCCGGAUUUAUUGGGUUUAAAGGGUGCGUAGGUGGUUUGAUAAGUCAGCGGUGAAAGUUUGCAGCUUAACUGUAAAAAUGCCGUUGAAACUGUCGGACUUGAGUGUAAAUGAGGUAGGCGGAAUGCGUGGUGUAGCGGUGAAAUGCAUAGAUAUCACGCAGAACUCCGAUUGCGAAGGCAGCUUACUAAGCUACAACUGACACUGAAGCACGAAAGCGUGGGGAUCAAACAGGAUUAGAUACCCUGGUAGUCCACGCAGUAAACGAUGAUUACUAGCUGUUUGCGAUACACAGUAAGCGGCACAGCGAAAGCGUUAAGUAAUCCACCUGGGGAGUACGCCGGCAACGGUGAAACUCAAAUGAAUUGGCGGGG
rnacentral:rRNA from 1 species